AUACGUAGGGGGCGAGCGUUGUCCGGAAUGAUUGGGCGUAAAGGGCGCGUAGGCGGCGCGGUAAGUCUGGAGUGAAAGUCCUGCUUUCAAGGUGGGAAUUGCUUUGGAAACUGUCGUUCUUGAGUGAGGUAGAGGUAAGCGGAAUUCCUAGUGUAGCGGUGAAAUGCGUAGAUAUUAGGAGGAACAUCGGUGGCGAAGGCGGCUUACUGGGCCUUUACUGACGCUGAGGCACGAAAGCGUGGGGAGCAAACAGGAUUAGAUACCCUGGUAGUCCACGCUGUAAACGAUGAUGACUAGGUGUGGGGGGACUGAACCCUUCCGUGCCGCAGUUAACACAAUAAGUCAUCCACCUGGGGAGUACGGCCGCAAGGUUGAAACUCAAAUGAAUUGACGGGG
rnacentral:rRNA from 1 species